UGGGGAAUUUUGGACAAUGGGCGAAAGCCUGAUCCAGCAAUGCCGCGUGUGUGAAGAAGGCCUUCGGGUUGUAAAGCACUUUUGUCCGGAAAGAAAAUCCUUGGCUCUAAUACAGUCGGGGGAUGACGGUACCGGAAGAAUAAGCACCGGCUAACUACGUGCCAGCAGCCGCGGUAAUACGUAGGGUGCAAGCGUUAAUCGGAAUUACUGGGCGUAAAGCGUGCGCAGGCGGUUUGCUAAGACCGAUGUGAAAUCCCCGGGCUCAACCUGGGAACUGCAUUGGUGACUGGCAGGCUAGAGUAUGGCAGAGGGGGGUAGAAUUCCACGUGUAGCAGUGAAAUGCGUAGAGAUGUGGAGGAAUACCGAUGGCGAAGGCAGCCCCCUGGGCCAAUACUGACGCUCAUGCACGAAAGCGUGGGGAGCAAACAGGAUUAGAUACCCUGGUAGUCCACGCCCUAAACGAUGUCAACUAGUUGUUGGGGAUUCAUUUCCUUAGUAACGUAGCUAACGCGUGAAGUUGACCGCCUGGGGAGUACGGUCGCAAGAUUAAACUCAAAGGAAUUGACGGGGUCAUAGCUGUUUCCU
rnacentral:rRNA from 1 species